rnacentral:rRNA from 1 species
AAGUCGUAACAAGGUUUCCGUAGGUGAACCUGCGGAAGGAUCAUUAAUGAAAAGUUCUUUCAGAACCAAUCAUCACCCCAUUGUUUACUUACCAUGUUGCUUCCACUGGACAGGUUGGCCCGUCAAAAGGUUGACCCUCUGGCUUCGUGCUGGGGAGUGCCGGUGGAUAACCCACACAAAAAACUUGAACCAAAACCUAAAUAAGCAAUUUUGUCUGAAAAAAGUUUUUAUAAACCUUUAUAAAACUUUCAACAACGGAUCUCUAGGCUCUUGCAUCGAUGAAGAACGCAGUGAAAUGCGAUACGUAAUGUGAAUUGCAGAAUCUCGUGAAUCAUUGAAUCUUUGAACGCACAUUGCGCCUUAUGGUAUUCCAUAAGGCAUGCCUGUCUGAGCGUCAGCUCCCCCCAACUCAAGCUCUUUUGCUUGGAUUAUUUUGGGCGAGCAGCUGUAAAAGGUUGCUGUCCACAAAUUCAUAGGCAGUAUGGUCUUUUCCAAGCUGAACGUAAUAAUUAAAAAAAUCACGUUUACUUUGAGAGAUAUUGUACUUGCCCUCAACCCACAAACUUUUUUAUGGGUGACCUCAGAUCAGGUAGGGAUACCCGCUGAACUUAAGCAUAUCAAUAAGCGGAGGAAAAGAAACCAACAGGGAUUGCCUCAGUAACGGCGAGUGAAGCGGCAAAAGCUCAGAUUUGAAAUCUGGCGUCAUAUUGGCGUUCGAGUUGUAAUCUGUAGAGGAGUAUUCGAGUGUGGCGCUGGCUUAAGUUCCUUGGAACAGGACGUCAUAGAGGGUGAGAACCCCGUUAACGGCCUUUGUCUUAUGCUCAUGUGAAUCUCCUUCAACGAGUCGAGUUGUUUGGGAAUGCAGCUCUAAAUGGGUGGUAAAUUCCAUCUAAAGCUAAAUACUGGCAAGAGACCGAUAGCGCACAAGUAGAGUGAUCGAAAGAUGAAAAGAACUCUGAACAGAGAGUUAAAUAGUACGUGAAAUUGUUGAAAGGGAAGCACUUGCUACCAGACACGCCUGUCGUUGAUCAACCUUCAUUCUUGAUGGUGCACUCAGCUAUAGGUGGGUCAGCAUCAGUUAUGGCGGUGGGAUAAAGACUUGGGGAAUGUGGCUUCUCUCGGGAAGUGUUAUAGCCCUGGGUGUAAUACCAUCUGCUGUGACUGAGGACCGCGCUUCGGCGAGGAUGCUGGCAUAAUGGUCGUAAGUGACC